GUUUGCACUGAAGGCCUAUUUCCUAGGCUACACGCGGGGGACAUUUUCCCUCAUCUGGUUGCCUAGGGGGAAAGUCCCCGGACCUUGGGCAGAAAGUGCCACAUGCUUACGCACGUAGACCCUCCCCACCCUUCACACUUAGCCUGCUAAGAAGCAAACUCACUCUCUGGGACGUGAAGCUAAGCGGUGUGUUGCGGGACAUCAUCUGUCAUCUGUCAUAGUGACGCAGGCAGUGCGCACGUCGGUGUGCACCAACCAAACCUGGCUGUGUUUAAAAAAAAA
ensembl:ribozyme RNase_MRP RNase MRP